CCAUUUUAAUUUUUAUGCCACAGCGUGUGCACGUUUUUUGGUAAAAUCUCAAAUUCUUGGUUAACAUUUAAAAAAGAUUUUAUUUAGUGAAACAAAAAUUUGCUCUAAUAAAGGGGAAUAUUAAAAAUAAAAUAACAUGGAAGAUUCUUGACUUCUUAUACGAGGGCUGAAUUAUAUGCCUCGAGUUCAAUUACCUCUUCAAGUCUAAGAUGGAGAGAAACUACCCAACUUAGUAAUGAUCACGUAAGUGAAAAAAUAAAUUUUGCCACAUUUGCUCAAAAUAUUUAUUGUAAUGAUGAACAUGUUUCUAUAUGAGUUAUGAUUAUAUUUUACAUGCACCACCAACUGAAUCAAUAACUUAGACCUUUAAUGUAUAAAGUCUUUGGAAAUCUUACUUAUCACAUUUUUCAUUCUUGUAGGGCUGGAAAAUGAAACUGCAUCGUGUUUUUUGUCUUCUGGUUGGAGAUGGACUUUCUAAGCUAUUAGUUCCAACGUCCAGGAAACUCGAUAAGGAAUGAUGUGAACGGUAGAACUAGACUGGUUGCCGUUGCAACAAAGCCAAUGGAUAUUCAGAAUACCAUUUAGGAUCCUUUCUGUAUCCUACAUAAUGUAAUUAUUCUCAACAACAAAAAAAGGAAAAUAAAUUAUGUUAAAUUGUAAAAAAAAUAUUGCAACAAAUAAAAAGAAAUUUAAAUAAACUA